rnacentral:tRNA from 1 species
GCCCUAGUAGUAUAUCCAAUGCCUCGGUCUUGUAAACCGAAAAAGGAGAACAAUUCUCCCUGGGGUA